rnacentral:rRNA from 1 species
GGAGGUUACUGCUAUCGGUGUUCGCCUAACCCAUGCGAGUCAUAUGUUCUUCGCGAACAUGGCGUACUGCUCAGUAACACGUGGAUAACCUGCCCUUGGGACCGGCAUAACCCCGGGAAACUGGGGAUAAUUCCGGAUACCGCAUAUAUGCUGGAAUGCUUUAUGCGUGAAAUGGAUUCGUCUGCCCAAGGAUGGGUCUGCGGCCUAUCAGGUAGUAGUGGGUGUAAUGUACCUACUACCCUACAACGGGUACGGGUUGUGAGAGCACGAGCCCGGAAAUGGAUUCUGAAACAUGAAUCCAGGCCCUACGGGGCGCACCAGGCGCGAAAACUUUACAAUGCGGGAAACCGUGAUAAGGGGACACCGAGUGCCAGCAACAUUUGUUGGCUGUCCAGGUGUGUAAACUACACCUGUUAGCAAGGGCCGGGCAAGACCGGUGC